rnacentral:rRNA from 1 species
CCAAGGAGUCUAACAUGUGCGCGAGUCAUGGGGACUUACGAAUCCCGAAGGCGCAAUGAAAGUGAAGGCUGCCCACGGUGGCCGAGGCAGGAUCCCGUCGAGAGGCGGGCGCACUGCCGGCCCGUCUCGAUAGCGGCGCGUUCGUUCGCGAGCUGCGUUCGUCUACGAGGCGGAGCAAGAGCGUACACGUUGGUACCCGAAAGAUGGUGAACUAUGCCUGAGCAGGACGAAGUCAGAGGAAACUCUGAUGGAGGUCCGCAGCGAUUCUGACGUGCAAAUCGAUCGUCAAACUUGGGUAUAGGGGCGAAAGACUAAUCGAACCAUCUA